AUUGAACGCUGGCGGCAGGCCUAACACAUGCAAGUCGAGCGGAGCGGCGGACGGGUGAGUAAUGCCUAGGAAUCUGCCUGGGAGUGGGGGAUAACGUCCGGAAACGGGCGCUAAUACCGCAUACUAUCAGAUGAGCCUAGGUCGGAUUAGCUAGUUGGGGGGGUAAAGGCAUACAAAGGAGACGAUCCGUAACUGGUCUGAGAGGAUGAUCAGUCACACUGGAACUGAGACAAGGGCCAGACUCCUACGGGAGGCAGCAGUGGGGAAUAUUGGACAAUGGGCGAAAGCCUGAUCCAGCCAGUCCGCGUGUGUGAAGAAGGUCUUCGGAUUGUAAAGCACUUUAAGUUGGAAGGCGUUACCAACAGAAGAAGCACCGGCUAACUCCGUGCCAGCAGCCGCGGUAAUUC
rnacentral:rRNA from 1 species